rnacentral:rRNA from 1 species
ACUCCUACGGGAGGCAGCAGUGGGGAAUAUUGCACAAUGGGCGCAAGCCUGAUGCAGCCAUGCCGCGUGUGUGAAGAAGGCCUUCGGGUUGUAAAGUACUUUCAGCANUGAGGAAAGGUGGAGUCGUUUAAUAGCGGCCCUCAUUUGACGUUAGCUGCAGAAGAAGCACCGGCUAACUCCGUGCCAGCAGCCGCGGUAAUACGGAGGGUGCGAGCGUUAAUCGGAAUUACUGGGCGUAAAGCGCAUGCAGGUGGUUUGUUAAGUCAGAUGUG